CACUAUGCCUAGCCAUAAACAUUGAUAGUAAACUACGCCCACUAUCCGCCCGGGGACUACGAGCACCAGCUUGAAACCCAAAGGACUUGGCGGUGCUUUAGAUCCACCUAGAGGAGCCUGUUCUAGAACCGAUUACCCCCGUUCAACCUCACCUUUCCUUGUUUUCCCCGCCUAUAUACCACCGUCGUCAGCUUACCCUGUGAAGGACUUAUAGUAAGCAAGAUUGGCAUAGCCCAAAACGUCAGGUCGAGGUGUAGCGUAUGGAAAGGGAAGAAAUGGGCUACAUUCACUAACAUAGUGAAACACGAAUGAUGCACUGAAAUACACAUCUGAAGGAGGAUUUAGCAGUAAGCAGAAAAUAGAGCGUUCCGCUGAAACUGGCCCUGAAGCGCGCACACACCGCCCGUCACUCUCCCCAAGCUCACUUAUCCUAAGUACCUAAGACAUUAAAACUGCAAAGGGGAGGCAAGUCGUAA
rnacentral:rRNA from 1 species